rnacentral:RNase_P_RNA from 1 species
GCGGGCAGCCGGGCGGUCGCUGCCGUCAUGCACAUGCGUGACGGGAGAGGAAAGUCCGAACUCCGCAGGGCAGUGUGCCGGAUAACGUCCGGGAUUCAGGCGUCAAGGCCUGAAGACGGCCAGUGCCACAGAAAACAUACCGCCUGCGCCGCAAGGCACAGGUAAGGGUGAAAAGGUGCGGUAAGAGCGCACCGCUUCGACGGUAACGCCGAAGGCAGGGUAAACCCCACACGGAGCAAGACCAAAUAGGGAGGGAUGCGCGGCAAGACCCGUUCCGCCGCGCGGCGUUUCGGCCCGGAGCGCCAGCGAGGGUCAUCCAGACUGGCGGCCAUGUGCCGCUAAGUGGAGCGGAAACCUCCGGGUAGGUCGCUUGAGCGCCGCAGUAAUGCGUCGCCUAGAGGAAUGACCGUCCUUGACAGAAUUCGGCUUACAGGCUGCUUGCAAAU